AGUGAACGCUGGCGGUAGGCCUAACACAUGCAAGUCGAACGGCAGCACAGUAAGAGCUUGCUCUUACGGGUGGCGAGUGGCGGACGGGUGAGGAAUACAUCGGAAUCUACUUUUUCGUGGGGGAUAACGUAGGGAAACUUACGCUAAUACCGCAUACGACCUACGGGUGAAAGCAGGGGAUCUUCGGACCUUGCGCGAUUGAAUGAGCCGAUGUCGGAUUAGCUGGUGGGCGGGGUAAAGGCCCACCAAGCCAACGAUCCGAGGCUGGUCUGGGGGGAGAUCCGCCCAACUGGAACUGAGAAAACGUUCCGAACCCGAAGGGAGGGAGGCGGUGGGAAUAAUUGGAAAAUGGGGGAAAGCUGAAUCAGCCAUACCGCGUGGGUGAAGAAGGCCUUCGGGUUGUAAAGCCCUUUUGUUGGGAAAGAAAAGCAGCAGGUUAAUACCCCGCUGUUCUGACGGUACCCAAAGAAUAAGCACCGGCUAACUUCGUG
rnacentral:rRNA from 1 species